UGGGGAAUUUUGCACAAUGGGCGCAAGCCUGAUGCAGCGACGCCGCGUGAGGGAUGAAGGCCUUCGGGUUGUAAACCUUUUUCGCUCAUGGUCAAGCCGCAGCUUUGGGUUGUGGUGAGGGUAGUGGGUAAAGAAGCGCCGGCUAACUACGUGCCAGCAGCCGCGGUAAUACGUAGGGCGCGAGCGUUGUCCGGAAUUAUUGGGCGUAAAGGGCUUGUAGGCGGUUGGCCGCGUCUGCCGUGAAAUCCUCUGGCUUAACUGGGGGCGUGCGGUGGGUACGGGUUGACUUGAGUGCGGUAGGGGAGACUGGAAUUCCUGGUGUAGCGGUGGAAUGCGCAGAUAUCAGGAGGAACACCGGUGGCGAAGGCGGGUCUCUGAGCCGUUACUGACGCUGAGGAGCGAAAGCGUGGGGAGCGAACAGG
rnacentral:rRNA from 1 species